rnacentral:rRNA from 1 species
GACGAACGCUGGCGGCGUGCCUAAUACAUGCAAGUCGAACGCUUCUUUCCUCCCGAGUGCUUGCACUCAAUUGGAAGGAGGAGUGGCGGACGGGUGAGUAGCACGUGGGUAACCUACCCAUCAGAGGGGGAUAACACUUGGAAACAGGUGCUAAUACCGCAUAACAGUUUAUGCCGCAUGGCAUAAGAGUGAAAGGCGCUUUCGGGUGUCGCUGAUGGAUGGACCCGCGGUGCAUUAGCUAGUUGGUGAGGUAACGGCUCACCAAGGCCACGAUGCAUAGCCGACCUGAGAGGGUGAUCGGCCACACUGGGACUGAGACACGGCCCAGACUCCUACGGGAGGCAGCAGUAGGGAAUCUUCGGCAAUGGACGAAAGUCUGACCGAGCAACGCCGCGUGAGUGAAGAAGGUUUUCGGAUCGUAAAACUCUGUUGUUAGAGAAGAACAAGGACGUUAGUAACUGAACGUCCCCUGACGGUAUCUAACCAGAAAGCCACGGCUAACUACGUG